GACGUUAGCGGCGGACGGGUGAGUAACACGUGGAUAACCUACCUAUAAGACUGGGAUAACUUCGGGAAACCGGAGCUAAUACCGGAUAAUAUAUUGAACCGCAUGGUUCAAUAGUGAAAGACGGUUUUGCUGUCACUUAUAGAUGGAUCCGCGCCGCAUUAGCUAGUUGGUAAGGUAACGGCUUACCAAGGCAACGAUGCGUAGCCGACCUGAGAGGGUGAUCGGCCACACUGGAACUGAGACACGGUCCAGACUCCUACGGGAGGCAGCAGUAGGGAAUCUUCCGCAAUGGGCGAAAGCCUGACGGAGCAACGCCGCGUGAGUGAUGAAGGUCUUCGGAUCGUAAAACUCUGUUAUUAGGGAAGAACAAAUGUGUAAGUAACUAUGCACGUCUUGACGGUACCUAAUCAGAAAGCCACGGCUAACUACGUGCCAGCAGCCGCGGUAAUACGUAGGUGGCAAGCGUUAUCCGGAAUUAUUGGGCGUAAAGCGCGCGUAGGCGGUUUUUUAAGUCUGAUGUGAAAGCCCACGGCUCAACCGUGGAGGGUCAUUGGAAACUGGAAAACUUGAGUGCAGAAGAGGAAAGUGGAAUUCCAUGUGUAGCGGUGAAAUGCGCAGAGAUAUGGAGGAACACCAGUGGCGAAGGCGACUUUCUGGUCUGUAACUGACGCUGAUGUGCGAAAGCGUGGGGAUCAAACAGGAUUAGAUACCCUGGUAGUCCACGCCGUAAACGAUGAGUGCUAAGUGUUAGGGGGUUUCCGCCCCUUAGUGCUGCAGCUAACGCAUUAAGCA
rnacentral:rRNA from 1 species